GUGAAUUACCAAAGGGCCAUAA
rnacentral:miRNA from 21 species